rnacentral:rRNA from 1 species
AUUGAACGCUGGCGGUAUGCUUUACACAUGCAAGUCGAACGGUAACAGGGUGCUUGCACCGCUGACGAGUGGCGAACGGGUGAGUAAUGCGUCGGAACGUGCCGAGUAGUGGGGGAUAACGCAGCGAAAGUUGUGCUAAUACCGCAUACGUACUGAGGUAGAAAGUGGGGGACCUUCGGGCCUCACGCUAUUCGAGCGGCCGACGUCUGAUUAGCUAGUAGGUGGGGUAAAGGCUCACCUAGGCGACGAUCAGUAGCGGGUCUGAGAGGAUGAUCCGCCACACUGGGACUGAGACACGGCCCAGACUCCUACGGGAGGCAGCAGUGGGGAAUUUUGGACAAUGGGCGAAAGCCUGAUCCAGCCAUGCCGCGUGUCUGAAGAAGGCCUUCGGGUUGUAAAGGACUUUUGUCAGGGAGGAAAUCCCUAGUGCUAAUAACACUGGGGGAUGACAGUACCUGAAGAAUAAGCACCGGCUAACUACGUGCCAGCCGCCGCGGUAA